AUAUGAUAAAAAGGUAAUUAGUGGAUCCUAGUACAGGAAAAUCUAAGAAGCCUUCACUAUUUCUGCACUAUUCACAUAUAGUACACCUGUACAGCUCUACUAGUUAGAGGACAUCAAAUUAAGAUCCCUUCAAUCUGUGGAAGCUCUGCUCAUUUCCCUGGCCACAAUUUACCACACUGGGCCAACUCAAGCAUUUCACAAACUGAGCAUGGAUCACAAAAACAUUACCUAGCAAAAGUGAAGUCAGUUGCAUAUCAGUCUCAACUCCUAGAAAAAAUAAUUGGCAGCAUCAAAGAAAGCAAUCAAUGCAUUUUGAUCAGAACUGUCCAGAAUCUCCAGUAAAAGAGUUCAUGGUCUCUCAUCUUCAGGAAAGAAAGUGAAAAACUAACAACAGGAAGAUGUUUAAGUUGGACUGGAAGUCAGAAAUAACAGGACUAUCAAAACCAAUUUAUUUACCAGCAUUCCCUGAGGUGAAACAGAAAGGAAAUAUAACAUUUGAGGCUAAUAUUAUAAUAAGAUCCUGUUCACAGAGAACUCAAAUGCUAAACAGUAUUUAUUCACAACAGGUAUUUGGGAGAGAGAAGUGUUACUCUACUGAGAUCAGAAUGGUAAUAUAUGAGAAAGAUAGGAAAGUCCAACUCAAACCACCCAUUAAAAGAAGACA